GACGAACGCUGGCGGCGUGCUUAACACAUGCAAGUCGAACGGAAAGGCCUUUUCGGAGGUACUCGAGUGGCGAACGGGUGAGUAACACGGGGGUGAUCUGCCCUGCACUCUGGGAUAAGCCUGGGAAACUGGGUCUAAUACCGGAUAGGACCGCACUUUAGUGUGUGUGGUGGAAAGUUGUUUCGGUGUAGGAUGAGCCCGCGGCCUAUCAGCUUGUUGGUGGGGUAAUGGCCUACCAAGGCGGCGACGGGUAGCCGGACUGAGAGGUUGGUCGGCCACAUUGGGACUGGGAUACGGCCCAGACUCCUACGGGAGGCAGCAGUGGGGAAUAUUGCACAAUGGGCGCAAGCCUGAUGCAGGGACGCCGCGUGGGGGAGGACGGCCUUCGGGUUGUAAACUCCUUUCGCCAGGGACGAAGCGUUUUGUGACGGUACCUGGAGAAGAAGCACCGGCUAACUACGUG
rnacentral:rRNA from 1 species